rnacentral:rRNA from 1 species
GACGAACGCUGGCGGCGUGCUUAACACAUGCAAGUCGAACGGAAAGGCCCUGCUUUUGUGGGGUGCUCGAGUGGCGAACGGGUGAGUAACACGUGAGUAACCCGCUCUUUACUUUGGGAUAACGUCAGGAAACUGGGGCUAAUACCGGAUAGGAGCUCCUGCUGCAUGGUGGGGGUUGGAAAGCUUCGGCGGGUGGGGAUGGACUCGCGGCUUAUCAGCUUGUUGGUGGGGUAGUGGCUUACCAAGGCUAUGACGGGUAGCCGGCCUGAGAGGGUGACCGGCCACAUUGGGACUGAGAUACGGCCCAGACUCCUACGGGAGGCAGCAGUGGGGAAUAUUGCACAAUGGGCGGAAGCCUGAUGCAGCAACGCCGCGUGCGGGAUGACGGCCUUCGGGUUGUAAACCGCUUUCGCCUGUGACGAAGCGUGAGUGACGGUAAUGGGUAAAGAAGCACCGGCUAACUACGUG